rnacentral:tRNA from 1 species
GGGGCUGUAGCUCAGUGGUAGAGCAUUUGCCUUAGCAUACAUGACGCGCUAGGUUCGAUCCCCAGCACCA